CUUGAAUGAAAUCAGAAAUAUUGACACAUUUGUAUGGGACUGAAAAAAAUGCAUGUAGCUAAGUAUUUUAAAGCAGGUCACCUGCUAACUUCUGUUGGUAAAACAAAUGGCUUGCUGCAUAUACUGAGGCCUUAAACUUUGGUGAAUUGUGUCCUGUUUACACAUAUUAAUUCUUUUUCCUUUCUGUCUUCUAGUUUCAAGAUUCCUUCUUCAAUAUUAAGUUUGUCCCACAGACCAGCACACCUAGCCAGGCGUUUUAAUGCAAUGUUAGUCAUGACUUAGAAAUGUGGGUAAUCUAUGCCACCAUGGUUUGUGAGUAAAGAAAAUGCAAAUAUCAUCCUGUGACUGAGAGGCUGAUUAGAUAUUACAAGUCUACACACAAGACACAUCUUCAGUAAUGUGCCAUUUGAUGAGCGAGGAACUGUAAAGAAAGGCCUCCUGCAGUUGCCGUGUUGCUGUAUUUGUCAUCAGAGCAUAUGAGUAAAAGGAGAUGGACUUCUUGCUGCACACUGGUACCUGAGGAAAAAAAGUUUUGUGACCAGCACAAGCUACAUCUGAGGGCCUGGAAUUUCUCUGGAAGAAAACAAAAAAUGAUGAAUUUAUAGGAGUUUCUGCCAUUAUUGCAGAGGAUUUUGGAAUUUCUGCUAUUCUUGGCUGGAUGGAGAAAGGAAGAGCAAGAAGCAGAGUACCCUGACCUUGGGAAAAGGCUAUAAUCUAGUGUCUUUAUAGAGAUGAGGAAGCUGCUUUGACAAGUAGAAGUUAAACCCUAAAUGGUCCGGGACUAUCUAGCCAUUGCUUAAUCUUCUUAAUAUGGACGCACACUUCAGAGCCCUGCGAGCACUAAGAGGCCUUAAUAGCCAUGAUGGUCCCACCUGGGCACUCCCCGCUCCCUCUGCCUCUCGGCCAGCAGCUGUGUUUGCACCCAGCACCUGCCUGAGGUGUGCCAGACACGCAAUGCUCUUCAGCUCAGCCAGGCCUGGGGCCGGACCAGCACUCACUGCACCGUAGCCCAAGCCUGACCUGCAGGUUGAAUUCCUGUCUUGGCAUUGGACCUGCCUUAUCACCGUGGUAUUGCCUCCUGCACUGGGCUCAUGGCCAGGGCUGGCCACUGCCUCUGGCCUUGCUGUGCUGAGGGAGUGGGUGGCCCUCGCCAUGCCCAAGGUCAGUCAGCUAUUUGUGCCCAGACCCGUGGCACCACCUGCUGCUCUCUAACUGCAAAGGUACAAAUUGUUACAAAUCAUGGAGUUAGUCAGAAUGUGGGAUAGGAGAGAGGUUGGUUUGUUAACAGAUUUGCUCAGCUGCAGUUUAAAUACUAGCGGCUAUGUUAA
rnacentral:lncRNA from 1 species